UCGGUUCAGACUGUGCUUUGGUUAAGCUUAUAUGGGUCUGUCUGUGUGACGUAGACGAACCCCCCAAAUUUGAAGACCUGUCAGAAGAGCUGAGCUCAUCAUAGACAAAAGACUAGGAUGAUCUCCUCAAGACUUCAUGCAUGUAAAAACUGCAAAUUCAGCACUUCAAGUGAAGAUGUCCUUCUGAAGCACUAUCAGCUACAUCAUCAUAGAAUUUCCAACUGGCCCUGUCUUUACACGGAGUGUGUUUGUGCUUUUAAAACUGCAGGUACUUUACGAUCCCACUUAUCUAAAUCACACCACAACACUGAUAGAGUCAGUCGAGAUUUUUCAACUUUCAACUUUUAAUUGUGGACUAUGUGAAUUUCAUGAGAUUUGUUGUGAAAAAAGAUUUUUUCUUCACCUACAAAAUCAUCUGAAACGUAAAGAAGUUAAUGCAGAAGAGACAUGGCAGCCAUAAGUGAAAACAUGGAACUAACAUUUUCCCUUAGAAGAAAAGAAAUGGUCCAAGAGCAGCCAAUGAUUGUAGAGGUUCAGGAGAGGUGGCCUGCACUCUUUUUUUCAAGAACAGAUCUGUGAGGAAUUUUUCCGCAUCACCAACAAAGACCUUCUAGAAGUCUUCAUGGCAGCCACUGACAAGUAAACACCAAAGCUUCUGAAAUUAUACAGAGCCAGAAAAGGAGCGUUUGGACAUGAAAUGGAAGAGCUCCUGGAAAGACUUGAUGAAAGGACAACAGAAAUUGUUAAUCACAGAAGGACUGCUGCUUUGGAGGGCCUGCCUUUGUUUCUUCGAGAGAAACAAACUAACCUUUUCAAGAAAUGUAAAGUAGGUAUCAAACAAUUUAAA